rnacentral:rRNA from 1 species
AUCUAUGGCCAUGCCACCCUGAACAAGCCCAAUCCCUUCUGAUGUCUGAUCUCGGAAGCUAAGCAGGGUCGGGCCUGGUUAGUACUUGGACGGGAGACUACCUAGGAAGACCAAGUGCUAUAGGUG